AACGAACGCUGGCGGCGUGCCUAACACAUGCAAGUCGAACGAGACCUUCGGGUCUAGUGGCGCACGGGGGCGUGACGCGUGGGAACCUGCCCUUAGGUUCCGAAUAACUCCCCGAAAGGUAUGCUAAUACCGGAUAAUGUCAUCGGACCUAAGAUUUAUGGCCGUUGGAUGGGCCCUCGUUGGAUUAGCUGGUUGGUAGGGUAAAAGCCUACCAAGGCGAGGAUCCAUAGCUGGUCUGAGAGGAUGACCAUCCACACUGGGACUGAGACACGGCCCAGACUCCUACGCGAGGGAGCAGUAGGGAAUAUUGGACGAGGAGCGAAAGCCUGAUCCAGCAACGCGGCGUGAGUGAUGAAGGCCUUAGUGUUGUAAAGCUCUUUUACACGGGAUGAUAAUGACAGUACCGGGUGAAUAAGCACCGGCUAACUCCGUG
rnacentral:rRNA from 1 species